AUUGGAUGUGUGUAAUGCGAUACGAGAUGGGAUUGAGCUGAUUAGGCAGUGGAAGAAGCAGCUGGAGAUUGUUUAUUAUGCGUUGGACAAUCAGAGGAGUAUUGGGGAAGGCCAAAUUCGUCGUUCCUUGAAAGCGUUGAUUGAUUUGGCGAUUGGCAUGCUUGAUGAAAAAGAGUCUAAUUCAAGUUUUGCUCAUAGAAACAGCUCGUUUGGACGAAACAAUGCUCAACGUUCCAUGAAAGCCUUGAUUGAUUUGGCCAUUGGCAUGCUUGAUGAAAAAGAGUCUAAUUCAAGUUUUGCUCAUAGAAACAGGUCGUUUGGACGAAACAAUGCUCAGAAGGAUCAUAAUUCGUUGGGCCAAUUUCGAUCAUUGUCGUGG
rnacentral:lncRNA from 1 species